UCCGUAGGCGGUGCGGCAAGUCGGGAGUGAAAUCUCUGGGCUUAACUCAGAGGCCGCUUCCGAAACUGCCGUGCUGGAGUGUGGGAGAGGCGAGUGGAAUUGCAGGUGUAGCGGUGAAAUGCGUAGAUAUCUGCAGGAACACCCGUGGCGAAGGCGGCUCGCUGGACCACAACUGACGCUGAGGGACGAAAGCUAGGGGAGCAAACAGGAUUAGAUACCCUGGUAGUCCUAGCCCUAAACGAUCAGGACUUGGCGUGGCCCGCGUCCGCGGGUCGUGCCGAAGCUAACGCGAUAAGUCCUGCGCCUGGGGAGUACGGUCGCAAGACUGAA
rnacentral:rRNA from 1 species